rnacentral:lncRNA from 1 species
CAGAUUGUCCGUCGAUUGGUGCACAUGAUGGUGCACAUGCCACAAGCUCUAAUGGCAGAGCUGAUCAGGGGCUGAACCUUUAGUCUAAGCUAUAUUUAUAUUUAGUCGAGUUUCAAGUUGAGCUUAUUUAAAAUAUAUUAUUUUUUAUGCUCAAGGUCAAUUCAUGGCCAACUCUAUUUGCUAGAUACAUGUAGGAGAGAAUAUCAGAGGAUGC